UCUUGUGUUGCUUGCCUAAUGUGACGGAAAAUGACCCUGUAUGAGUCCUAGUUUUCGCCUUUCACCAGUACGUGGUGUUAGGUUGACGUGGAAGUACUGCCCAUUCUCCUCGAAUGCUUCGCCCUUUUCGCGUUGCAAUCAUGGCUCAUGGGUUGCUACUAGUUCCCUCGGAUGCAGAACUUUCGAAGGGUGCACAGCAUGUUGCUGUUGUUUAACCCACAAAGCGUUCAUCGCUCGAUACGUACGUACGACGGUUGCGCUCGUCUUGGUCCCCCUCUUCAACUAGUUUGGAUGGGGCUCAUGCGGUGCCGGCGUCGCGAAGGAAUGCUACCUGGUUGAUCCUGCCAGUAGUCAUAUGCUUGUCUCAA
rnacentral:misc_RNA from 1 species